rnacentral:tRNA from 2 species
GGAGAGAUGUCCGAGCGGUCGAAGGAGCACGCCUGGAAAGUGUGUAAACGGCUAAACCCCGUUUCGAGGGUUCGAAUCCCUCUCUCUCCGCCA